GGCCCCGUGGUGUAGUGGUCUAACACGCCUCCCUGUCAAGGAGGAGAUCGGCAGUUCAAAUCUGCUCGGGGUCGCCA
rnacentral:tRNA from 1 species